AGCUUUAUGAAUUUUAUAUAAAGUGAAACCUGCCCACUGAAAAUUUUAAAUGGCCGCAGUACCUUGACUGUGCUAAGGUAGCAUAAUAAAUUGACUUUUAAUUGAGGUCUUGUAUGAAAGGAUUAAUGAAUAAUUACUGUCUUAUGUUAAAUUAUUAUAAUUUACUUAAUAGGUGAAAAUUCCUUUGCUUAAAUAUAAUAGACGAGAAGACCCUAGGAGUUUAAUUAUAUUUUGUUGGGGCGACAUUAUAGCAUUAAAUUAAACCUAUAUAAUAUUAAAUUAAAUAAAACGAAAAUUUUUAAUAUUAAAUAAACUACCCUAGGGAUAACAGCAUAAUUUUUAUUUAGGUUUGUGACCUCGAUGUUGGACUAAGGACAUUUAAAGUUAACAGCGUUAAAUGAUAGUUCUGUUCGAACUUUUUACCUU
rnacentral:rRNA from 1 species